UGAGGAAUAUUGGUCAAUGGACGAGAGUCUGAACCAGCCAAGUAGCGUGCAGGAUGACGGCCCUAUGGGUUGUAAACUGCUUUUGUUUGGGAAUAAUCGACAUUACGUGUAAUGUUUUGCAUGUACCAUUCGAAUAAGGACCGGCUAAUUCCGUGCCAGCAGCCGCGGUAAUACGGAAGGUUCGGGCGUUAUCCGGAUUUAUUGGGUUUAAAGGGAGCGUAGGCCGUUUGGUAAGCGUGUUGUGAAAUGUAGGAGCUCAACUUCUAGAUUGCAGCGCGAACUGUCAGACUUGAGUGCGCAGAACGUAGGCGGAAUUCAUGGUGUAGCGGUGAAAUGCUUAGAUAUCAUGAAGAACUCCGAUUGCGAAGGCAGCUUACGGGAGCGAAACUGACGCUGAAGCUCGAAGGUGCGGGUAUCGAACAGG
rnacentral:rRNA from 1 species